AUGCAAGAGAACACAAAAUAUGAGUACAAAGGGGAAGAUGGGAAUAGAGAACCUGUUGACGGGGGAUUUUCUAUCACUAUCUAUACGGCAGAGGAGAGAUCCUCUCCUGUGUUGCCUCGGACAAGCCCUGACCAGCAAUGCUGCCAGACACUCCUCUGUGCAUGGGCCAGGGCCAGGCGCACCUUGAAAGUCAGAUGGACCACCUUCAAAGCCGCCUACAAAGCCCGUGAUGAUCUCCUCUGGUGGCAUAAUCUUGCACAAUGCAACGCCGGAGAGCUCUCCAUGGCCUAUGUCCAGGCUAAUCAUCUGAUGGAGGACCAUUGUCGCGUAGAGUCAUCUCCUACCCUCGGCACCUUCGUCGGUAUAUUUGAUGGUCACGGUGGCCCCGAAGUCGCCCGCUUCACUGCUGAGCAUCUCUUCCCUAAUCUCCAACCCAAAGCCACGUGUCGCAAGCAGGCUGUGACAGCUGAAACCAUCAGGAUGGCAUUCCUGGACACAGAUGAAAGCUUCAUUGCUCUUGUGGAGAAACAAUGGGCAGUCACGCCUAACCUUGCCGCCGUCGGGUCAUGCUGCCUCGUCGGCGUCGUGCACCAGCGGACUCUCUUCGUCGCCAACCUUGGGAACUCCCGAGCUGUUCUCGGAAAAGUUGAUCUCAACGGGGGGAUUUGCCCAGUGCAGCUGUCCACUGAACAUGUUGCCUCUGAUGAGAAUGUCAGGCAGGAGCUCAGGGCUCAGCACCCCGAUGAUCCACAUAUUGUGGUGCUUAAGCAUGAUCACUGGAGAGUGAAAGGCAUCCAACAGGUGUCGAGAACAAUAGGUGACGCAUACUUGAAACACCAGCGGUUUAACAGGGAACCACUCCAUAGUAGGUUCAGGCUUAGGGAACCAUUCAGCCGGCCUAUAUUGAGUGCUGAACCAUCUAUCAUCUCAUACAGUCUUAAACCAAGCGACCGUUUCAUCAUAUUUGCAUCCGAUGGCCUGUGGGAGUUCUUGAGUAAUGAGGAAGCCAUCGAGAUUUUCACAAAAAUGAGCGUAGUGGAAUUGCAAGAAGGCUUAUAG
rnacentral:rRNA from 1 species